GUUACUGCCACCUUCACUUGGCAGCGAUGAAGAAUUCAUUUCUCAUUCUCUCCCUGCUGAUGCUCACUGUUAACAUGAUUCAUGUACUUUCGCAGGGUAAGUCUCCUAGUUUCCCUUACUAAUCAUGUUAUAGGUUAUCCUGAACGGGUUGGUGUAAUGGAUGGUAUAAGCAAUCUGUCUCUAUUUUGAGCUCUCGAUGUGUUUGCAAAAGAAGGUACUUGUAUGGGAGUUGAAGUGUAGUGGGAUGAAUCUCCAACAAACCUGAUACUUCAGAAGAUAGUGACAAAGGCGAACAGACACUCUACAUAGCAUGCGGGAUUGCAACAGAUUCUGUCCGUGAUGAUCACGGCAACACGUGGGUACCGGACGUCGGUGACAUCAAUUCUGGAGAACCUAAAAUUGUUUCGCGGCAGAGUAAUGAUAUGCCAUUUCUGAGAACUGUCCGUGAGUUCCCCGGAGGGCCGGAGAUGGCCCUCACUGCUACAAAAUUCCACUACCUGGUCAGUCUGGCCUGGGUCUAAUCAAUGUGACUGCCUACUUCAUUUACGACAACUACGAUGGAAAAAGCACGCCACCAACCUUUCUGCUCCAGAUCCAAAAAGUUAACGAGUUGACCGUUGAGACUGCUCCAAGUGGUGUCAAGUAGUAUUCGGGGGCCUAACGGAUUCUCGGAAGAAAUGACAACUCCGUCUGCCUAAAAGGCGAAACUGGAGGAGGCGUGCCCUUCAUUUCUGCUAUGAAAAUAGUUUACCCGACAAGUACAACGCUCAUUAACCAACCUACGCCUGUUCAACAAUCUAGCUCGUCUUCUACUUCAACCAGUAAAGGGACAAAAUCCUUUAUGGUGCGUGGAAAUGGUAAAGAAGGUGUGUUGAAUUUUCUGGUGAUCUUGUGGCUAUCUAUUUCAUUCUUCGCAUGGUAAACUCGAGCAAGAGGAGGCGGCAAGCGCUCGCAGAUGUUGAGAUGAAGGCAGGCGUCUGAUCGUGAAAAUAAACCCAUAGAUGAAGUUACUAUAUUAAAUAAGUGAAGGGAAUUGCCGUCUAUUCAAGCAAAUGUAACUGGUCGGGCCAUGGAGGGUGCCUUCCGUAGGCCAUGUUUAACAAUUAGUCUUUGAUCCUGUUGUUUGUAUGUA